rnacentral:rRNA from 1 species
AGUCAAGAAAGAAAGGGCGCAAGGUGGAUGCCUUGGCACAUGAAGACGAUGAAGGACGUAAGUGAACGAAAACUAGGGUAAGCUCACAAAAAGCCAUGACCCCUAGGUCUCCGAAUGGGGAAACCCGGCUAUGGAAGACAUAGUCAUCACUAAGUGAAUACAUAGCUUAGUGAAGUAAGACCCUGUGAACUGAAACAUCUAAGUAGCAGGAGGAAAAGAAAGAAAACUCGAUUUUCUUAGUAGCGGCGAGCGAAAAGAAAACAGCCCAACUCAAUAAGGAUCAUAUUUAAUUAGCAGAAUCAUUUGGGAAGAUGAACCAAAGAAAGUGACAGUCUUGUACGCGACAGUUAAAUAUGGACAGAGUGAAAGUAGCACCGGACACGAGGAAUCCGUUGUGAAGAUAGGGGGCCCAUCCCCUAAGGCUAAAUACUAACAUGUGACCGAUAGUGAACAAGUACCGUGAGGGAAAGGUGAAAAGAACCCCGAAAGGGGAGUGAAAUAGAACCUGAAACCUAGCGCCUACAAGCAGACAGAGCACUAAAGUGUGAUGUCGUACCUUUUGUAGAAUGGGCCAGCGAGUUAUUCUAAGCGGCAAGAUUAAGUAUUUAAGAUACGAAGUCAAAGCGAAAGCGAGUCUUAAUAGGGCCAAAGUCGAUUAGAAUAGACCCGAAACCGGGUGAUCUAUCCAUGACCAGAGUGAAGGUGAAGUAAAAUUCACUGGAGGCUCGAACCGGGUACGGUUUAAAACGUAUCGGAUGAGUUGUGGAUAGGGGUGAAAAGCCAAACGAACUCGGAUAUAGCUGGUUCUCCUCGAAAUAGCUUUAGGGCUAGCCUUUGACUAAAGAUUUUAGGAGGUAGAGCACUGAAUGGUCUAGGGCGGUUAACCGUACCGAAACCUAUCAAACUCCGAAUGCCAAAAAAUCAGGUCAAGGAGUCAGACUUAGAGGGAUAAGCUUCUAAGUCGAAAGGGAAACAGCCCAGACCGACAGCUAAGGUCCCCAAAUCUGGAUUAAGUGGAAAAGGAUGUGAAUCUACUAAGACAACCAGGACGUUGGCUUAGAAGCAGCCAUGCAUUUAAAGAAUGCGUAAUAGCUCACUGGUCAAGUGGGUUUGCGCCGAAAAUGAACGGGGCUAAAAUCCAGUACCGAAGCUUCGGAUUGAUAGAGAAUUUAAAUCUAAUCAUAAAGAACUAAAGAAAAAAGGUAAGAAAAGCUUAACUAGGAAAUAUUGUAAACAACAAUUAAUCAAGAUAAACGAGUUACAAGCAGGCCUGUCCGGCCCGAAGAGGACCCACACGGAGUGAGUCAAAAGAUAGUUCAACUAGAACGAAGAAAAACUCUUAGGGAAGACAGAAAUGCUAAAAACGAAUCAAAUUUACGCUAAAUCAAUCACAAGUAAAUGGUAAGUUGUAACUACGAUAUCACCGAAAAAACAGCAUACGAAAGUAUGAACCUGGUUAAUCAAAGUAUUAUCUAAGAAAAAAACUUUAUGUCUAGAUUUAAUUUCUCUAUCAGUGGUAGAGGAGCGUUGUAUUAGGGAAGAAGCAGAAGCGAAAGCAAAGGUGGACUUAAUACAAGUGAGAAUGCUGGCAUGAGUAGCGAGAAGGAGAGUGAGAAUCUCUCCCGUCGAAACCCUAAGGAUUCCUGAGCAAGGCUCGUCCACUCAGGGUAAGUCGGGACCUAAGCCAAGGCCGAAAGGCGUAGGCGAUGGACAACAGGUUUAAAUUCCUGUACCGCUUAAAGUCGCUAUUAGAGAUGUGAUGACGCAAGAGGAUAAGCUAAGCUAGCUGAUGGAUGCUAGUCUAAGAGUCAAGGCCAGUGUGUAGGCAAAUCCGCACACUAUUAAGGCUGAGGCUUGAUAGGUAUCGAAAACAUAAGUAGAGAAGUAGCCGAUUUCAAAUUGCCAAGAAAAGUCACUAUCGAGACCAAAGCGCCCGUACCCGAAACCGACACAGGUAGGGAGGUAGAGAAUACCAAGACGCGCGGAAGAACCUUUGUUAAGGAACUCGGCAAAAUGUCCCCGUAACUUCGGGAGAAGGGGAGCCAUAGCGAUAUGGCCACAGAAACCAGGCCCAAGCGACUGUUUACCAAAAACACAAGUUUCUGCAAAAUCGUAAGAUGAAGUAUAGGAGCUGACACCUGCCCGGUGCUGGAAGGUUAAGGAGACGGCUUAGCGCAAGCGAAGGCUCGAACUUAAGCCCCAGUAAACGGCGGCCGUAACUAUAACGGUCCUAAGGUAGCGAAAUUCCUUGUCGGGUAAGUUCCGACCCGCACGAAAGGUGUAACGAUUUGGGCACUGUCUCAACAAAGGAUCCGGUGAAAUUGUAGUAGUCGUGAAGAUGCGACUUACCCACGCUAGGACGGAAAGACCCCGUGGAGCUUUACUGUAGGCUGAUAUUGGACUUUGAGAUUAGAUAUACAGGAUAGUUGGGAGACUAUGAAGCAUGUACGCCAGUAUGUGCAGAGUCACCCUUGGGAUACCAACUUUCUAAUAUUAAAGUUCUAACAUUGACCCUUGAAUCAGGGCAAUGGACAUUGUCAGUUGGGCAGUUUGACUGGGGCGGUCGCCUCCCAAAAAGUAACGGAGGCGUUCAAAGGUUCGCUCAGAAUGGACGGAAACCAUUCGUAGAGUACAAAGGCAAAAGCGAGCUUAACUGCAAAACCUACAAGUUGCGCAGAGUAGAAAUACGGACUUAGUGAUCCGGUGGCACCGCAUGGAAGGGCCAUCGCUCAACGGAUAAAAGCUACCCCGGGGAUAACAGGCUUAUCUCCCCCAAGAGUCCACAUCGACGGGGAGGUUUGGCACCUCGAUGUCGGCUCGUCUCAUCCUGGGGCUGAAGUAGGUCCCAAGGGUUGGGCUGUUCGCCCAUUAAAGAGGCACGCGAGCUGGGUUCAGAACGUCGUGAGACAGUUCGGUCCCUAUCCAGCGUGGGCGUAAGAAAUUUGAGAGGAUCUGUCCCUAGUACGAGAGGACCGGGAUGGACACACCUAUGGUGUACCAGUUGUAAAGCCAUUUGCAUAGCUGGGUAGCUACGUGUGGAAACGAUAAGUACUGAAAGCAUCUAAGUACGAAACAGACCUCAAGAUAAGAUUUCUCAGAGUACGUAAAGAAAAUACGUUUGAUAGGUCCAAGGUGUAAGUGCAGUAAUGUAUUAAGCUAAUGGAUACUAAACUUUACAUCUUGACUGG